UACGUAAGGUGCAAGCGUUGUCCAGAAUUAUUGGGCGUAAAGAGCUCGUAGGCGGUUUGUCGCGUCUGCUGUGAAAACUCGGGGCUUAACUCCGGGCCUGCAGUGGGUACGGGCAGACUAGAGUGCGGUAGGGGAGACUGGAAUUCCUGGUGUAGCGGUGAAAUGCGUAGAUAUCGUAAGGAAGACCAGUGGCGAAGGCGGGUCUCUGGACAGUUCCUGACGCUGAGGCACGAAGGCCAGGGGAGCAAACGGG
rnacentral:rRNA from 1 species